GCGUAGCUGGUAACCACUGCUCUUCACGCCUGAGCGAGACGAGAGGUUAUACGAUGACAUGGUGGAUUUAUAUAAAAAGAGCGGGCACGAGAGAUGGUUGCGAAAUUCGUCGUGAAUCGCAUUCUAGCCGAGCGAAAGAAACGGUUGUGCGACGAGUUGCGCAAGAUAGUGUAAGAUGGAGAUUGAGUUAGGCGAGUGGUAGACAGGGUUAGAUAAAAUUAGACGAAGAUAGUCAGAGCUGGCCUGCAAGCCCAGGAUGCAGGGUAGAUGUCGGAUGGGUAGACGGGGAUAGACGAGGAUAUCCGAUGCGAGCAGCAUACCGUUCACGAGAAGAAGCAGUUCGGUGAUCUCGUGAAAAAGGGCACGAGAUCUGGAACAGGUUCGACGAGAGUAAGAAAUAUAUAUAUAUAUAGGGUAGGUAUAACGGGAGCCCUAGGCUUCCAAUAGUUAAAGGAAGCCCAGGCCGACUACUCCUAUAAACUGGUUCAACCCAAGCACCCAACUAGCCUGUCGGGUGCGCCACCUACCCCACGUCUGUUAGCGCAAAAAAAGGAAUGCAUGCACGAGUCAAACACGAUCUAAUGCAUGCGCGUAAAUUUAGGAAAAAAAUAUGUGGCGGUUUUUAUUUUUAAAUGCUUUAUUUCCUCCAUAAAUUUAGGAUCGCUGCAACAGCCAUGCAGCUAGACACGUAAGGACCAUUUUAUGAUAUAUACUGAGACUAAAUAUGCUACACUGUGUAGAUAAUUAUGCAAUUCGGUAUACUGCGUAAAAAUCUGUUACCAGCUGCAUGCGCACGAAUUUAUGAUGAAAAUAAUGUGCAAUGAAAGGAAAUGAAUUGCAUGCAUAGAAAAAAAAUCGUAUUUAAUGGUUAAUUUGCUUCAUAAAUAUAGUAUCCCUCCAACAACCAUGUAGCUAAACACAUUAGAACUAGUUUAUGAUUUAUACUUAUACUAAUUAUACUACACGAUAUAGGUAUUUAUGCAAUUCGGUACACUGCGUAAAAAAAUCUAGCAUGUUGUUCACUGGUGGACGCAUCUCCAGGUUGGAGCGUAAAAACCUUAAGUUUUACGCAUAAAAUCUCUCAAGCGUAAAUAUCUGGCCAAUGUGAGAGGUUGAUAGCUCUGGUAGGUUGUUAUUACGAUGCUAUUUUUAUGGCAGAUUCGAAAAAUAUGGCAGCCGCAUGAAUGCAAUAUAUAUUUUUAUACAGAUCCUAAAAUUAUGGCAAAAUGCAUGCAUGAGUCAAACACGUUCCCUUGCAUGCGCGUAAAUUUAGGAAAGAUAUGUGUGGCGGUUUCUAUUUUAAAUGCUUUAUUUCCUCCAUAAAUUUAGGAUCGCUGUAACAGACAUGCAACUAAAACUCGUAAUGACCAUUUUAUGCUAUAUACUGAUACUAAAUAUGCUACACUGUGUAGAUAAUUAUGCAAUUCGGUAUACUGCGUAAAAAUCUGCUAUCAGCUGCAUGCACACAAAUUUAUGAUGGAAAGAAUAUGCAGUGAAAGGAAAUGAAUUGCAUGCAUAGAAACAAAAAAUCGCAUUUAAUGUUUUAUUUCCUUCAUAAAUAUAGGAUCCCUCCAACAGCCAUGCAGCUAAACGCAUUAGAAUUAGUUUAUGAUGUAUACUGAAACAAAUUAUACUACACGGUGUAGGUAUUUAUGCAAUUCCUUACACUGCGUAAAAAAUCUGGCAUGUUGUUCACCGGUGGACGCAUCUCCGGGUGGAGCGUAAAAACCUUAAGUUUUGAGCAUAAAAUCCCUCAUUUAUAAGCGUAAAUAUCGAGUCAAUAGAGGUUGAUAGCUUUAGUAGGUUGUUAUUACGAUCCUAUUUUUAUGACAGAUCCGAAAAACAUGGCAGCCGCAUGCAUGCGGUUUCUAUUUUUAUACAGAUCCAAAAAUUAUGGCAAAAUCGUGGGAGUUUCCAUUGCAUGCACGCAAAUUACGAACAGCAUAAAUCAAGGAAUUACCUUUCCAAUGUGCAUACAGUAAACUGAUAUACGAACUCUGUGUUAAAGCAUAAAAUCGUACAGUUUUUAGCGUAAAUAAUACAUGUGGUAGGCAUAAAACACAAUAAACGAAAAGAAAAAUGCGCCGGAUCGGAGGAUGUCACGCGCGAUCAUCGCUGCGCGCAUCUCGCCCCUUCCGUGACGUCGCUCGCUCGAACAUCGCGCCUCAUGUGUCACCGUCGCUACUCGCACGUCGACGGGCGUCGCUUGCUCGUCGGCCUUGGAAGUGCCGCCUCCUCGGGGCUUCGGGGACGCCGCCGCUUGCCCGCACAAGGGCCUCGCUGCGGAUCGAGGAACCUCCGCCACCGCGCGUCGAGGUAAUGGAGUUGUGGCCACCGGCCUGGGAUCCGCCGCCGCUCGCCCUCUGGAUCGAGGGCCGCCACCGCCGGCCUGGGAACCGCCGCCACCGCAUGUCGAGGUCGGGGAGCCACGGCCACCGCAGCCACUGGCCGGGGUCCACCGCCGUGCGCGCUAUCGGGCAACCGCCGUCGCUAAUGAAUCGAGAUGGGGCGUGAAAAACUGAACCCUAGCACUCCGGGUCCUGUUUUAUAGACGUCCGGAUGUGGUCCGGAUUGCACUGUCUGCCCCGGGCUUCCUUUAGUUAUUGGAAGCCCAGGGCUCCUAAUAUACAAUCUAUAUAUAUAUUAUCGAGUUUUCAAAAUUUUAUAGUUUUCGUAAAUACUAAAUUUUAGGAAUUUAAUUAAUAUUAGAAAAACUGAAAUUCAUAUUUAAUACUCGAAGAAACAUUUCGAAGGUUCCCGAAAGUUUCCGAAAACAUAAACAAGAUAAUUCGAUAUAGUUUGAAAACAUUUGCACUUAUAAACACUAUACAACGACAUAAAUAAAACCUUCAAAGCUUCUCCAGGAUUUUAUUUUACUACGCUAAAAAACUUAUAUAUAUAUAUAUAACUCUUCAUUAUUUAGAAAAAAAGAAGAAAAGCGGUAAAGGAGAGGAUAACAUCUGAAUUUGGUGAAUAUUAGAAAAGAAAUUUUAUACUUUCAUAUUCAGCGUGUUACAUUACAGCUAGGUUGUCAGAUGUUUCUUCAACGGAUCACAUCGAGCCUCGACGAGAAAACAUGGAUUAUGUUAGGAAUUGUAACCGAGCCCAGCCUCAUGGUUUGAUGUGUCGCGGUGCCGGGUUAUAAAGUAUCAUGUGAUGCGGGCCCCUUGAUCCUCAUAUGGUGGCCGAACUGGGGCGAGUUGUGCGGCGUCGUUGAGAGAAGGGCGGAAGCCGCCACGGAGACAACUCCGGUGCACUGGCGCCGGUGCUUCGGAUGGUGGUCAGGGAGCUCCUUCGGGCCAUGUUCGUUUAAGCCAAACCCGGUCGAGAUCGAGCCCAAUCCCCCGUGGAUCAGCGUGGGCUAGAAAAGAUCACAGCCCACAACGAAACAGCGUUCGUUUCACCCCGUCCGGGUUUCAACUCCGGCCCACCCUGACUAUUCCGAGCUCAACCCGGUCGGGAAACAUCCCUCGUCACCCCGUCGUGGAAAGAACCCGCGAGCGAGAGUGCUCAGCGCGAGGUGGCGGCGGUGGCUAGCGGCGGUGGCUACAUCGACGCAUACGCACGACACGGCGACCGGCGUGGAGAACAACAAAUUUUCGCCGGUACUCACGCCGUCCUCCUCUAACUCCUCGCUAGUACGCACUUGCCAUCCCGAUUCCAUUUCCAGAUCUCGCUAGGUCUCGCUAGUUCCCAAGAUCUCACUUGUUGUUUAUUGGAUCCUGCAUUCCACCUCUUUUAAUUCUUGGGGCUCUAUCCUUGGUCUCUACCGUCGACGAGCCCGAGCAGCAGGCCACUGGAGCGGACACUGUUGCCGUGACGGCCGUGGCCCUGGUGGUCGUGAUGGCUGUCUCGUAGCUCAUGUCCUGCUGAGAGACCCAAAUGACCGAUGGCCAUUGCGAACAGAAUAGGGAGGCUUUGAGUGUGAGGCCGUGACAACACAGUCAUCUCACUAGAAUCUUUAUCACGUUCACAUCUCUAAUGUGUUAGAACUGGAUAUUUGUUUACUUGUUCAAGGUAUUGAGAUUGCAAUAAUGAACUACUGUCUACGCUCAGCUUUAGCAUCUAUACCUUUCUGAUACUUAGAAUUAGUUUAUGUAGUUUAGUCGCAAAGUUAUACCAAAGCACAAUAUAUAACUGACAAUACAUUUAUGGACUAACCACUAUUCAUUUACCUGCCUAGUUAUGCUAUAUAACUGACAAUAUAUUUAUGAAUUAGUUAUGCUAUAUAACUGACAAUACGCAUUCACUGAUUUGCAGUUAGUAUUAAUAGGCAACUAACUGGACACAUUCACAGAUUCAUAAAGGCAUGCACCUAAUAAGGUCACAUGACUGAAAUCAUAUUUAUAUGCAAAACAGAUUCAGAUACUAAGAACUUGAGCACCAGUCCAAACUGCAGUAUCUAGCUCAGUAGAAUGGAGUAUGGUCAUCGAUGAUGGAGAGGCUAGGCGUGUGUCACUGUAUCGAUGUAGGAGGCAAUUGUCCAAUACAAAUCAUAUAUUUGCAUACCUUGAGUAGAGUAAUUCUCUAUAUACUGAGCAGAGUAAUUUAAAAAAAUUAGAUACACUGAGCAGAGUAAUUCUCUAUUAUGGCAUCAUAUAUUUGCUUUACCUGGAGUAGUUUGAAUGUGCAAGACAGUAAUAAUAGUUUGAAUGUGCAAGACAAUACUAGUAUUUUCUCAUAUCUGAAUAUUUAACGUUUGUCCAUCUAUACAAGCAUAGGAUUAGUUGGCACUAGAAUCAUGUGACGAGGAGAAGGAGCACAUGCCAUGUAACUGCAUGUAGAAAGCCAGUUUCAUUAUGCAAUGCAAGUUUAGAGUUUUGUUUUGAAAUAAAGGGCGCAUGGAGAAAUAGAAACGUCAUGCUAGCUAAUAAACAACUUAUGGUAGCUAAUAAACAGAAAUGUAUUUUUCACAAAUCUCAUUUAUUUCCAAUUAGUUGUCUAUGUAUUUCUAACAAAAACCUAUUAUAUUUCUAGAUUAUCCCUGCAUCGGUUCGAGUUGGAGAAGACGAACUUCCACCAUCUUGGGACCCUACACCCUCUCCUUUACGUACUUGUUAUGUCCUAUAUGUUCUUUAUUACAUCAUGUUCUGUUUUUGUUGGUGUUUAUUUUCUGUUAUGGAUUUCUUUUUAGUUAGCAAUGGAUGUGACACUAAGAGAUCGCCUUAGAAAGAGAAGGGAUGAGGAUGAUGAUGAUAUGAUGCUGUUUUUUUCCUAUGCUACAUAUAUUGGGCUUUAGUUCAAACAUAGCAAGGGAAAAGAAGCGAAGGCAUACAUCAAAGUUAAGUGGCCAAGAACAUGUUCAAGAGUUGCUUCAAGGUCAUUUGAAGAACUGUUGGUGAAUGGUGAUGAUGCAUUGCUCCUUGUUGCUGACGACCGCCUGCUACUGCUUGCUACUUUUACCACGACAACAACGAUUGCUGCUUGCUGCUGGCCAUGUGUGCAAGGCCUGGUCAUGCAUAAACAAUUGUGCAUGUCAUGAACUCUUUAAGCGUAGGGCAUUUCAGUGCAUUGGAUGGAUUACUUGUCCUGUAAUGAAACCUAUAAUAAUGGUGCUUCUAUGCGACUGCUGCAAGACAU